rnacentral:rRNA from 1 species
UACGUAGGGUGUAAGCGUUAAUCGGAAUUACUGGGCGUAAAGCGUGCGCAGGCGGUUUUGUAAGUCUGACGUGAAAUCCCCGGGCUCAACCUGGGAAUUGCGUUGGAGACUGCAAGGCUGGAGUCUGGCAGAGGGGGGUAGAAUUCCACGUGUAGCAGUGAAAUGCGUAGAUAUGCGGAGGAACACCGAUGGCGAAGGCAAUCCCCUGGGCCUGCACUGACGCUCAUGCACGAAAGCGUGGGGAGCAAACAGG